UGAUAUGAGAACAUCAGGAAGUAUUGGAGC
rnacentral:piRNA from 1 species